AGAGUUUGAUCCUGGCUCAGGACGAACGCUGGCGGCGUGCCUAAUACAUGCAAGUCGAGCGGACCAAUAGAAAAGCUUGCUUUUCUUGAGGUUAGCGGCGGACGGGUGAGUAACACGUGGGCAACCUACCUGUAAGACUGGGAUAACUUACGGAAACGUGAGCUAAUACCGGAUAGUUUCACUUCUCGCAUGAGAAGUGAAGGAAAGAUGGCUUUUAGCUAUCACUUACAGAUGGGCCCGCGGCGCAUUAGCUAGUUGGUGGGGUAAAGGCCUACCAAGGCAACGAUGCGUAGCCGACCUGAGAGGGUGAUCGGCCACACUGGGACUGAGACACGGCCCAGACUCCUACGGGAGGCAGCAGUAGGGAAUCUUCCGCAAUGGACGAAAGUCUGACGGAGCAACGCCGCGUGAGCGAAGAAGGUCUUCGGAUCGUAAAGCUCUGUUGUUAGGGAAGAACAAGUACCGGAGUAACUGUCGGUACCUUGACGGUACCUAACCAGAAAGCCACGGCUAACUACGUGCCAGCAGCCGCGGUAAU
rnacentral:rRNA from 1 species